AGCGAACGCUGGCGGCAGGCCUAACACAUGCAAGUCGAACGAAGUCUUCGGACUUAGUGGCGGACGGGUGAGUAACACGUGGGAACGUACCUUUUGGUUCGGAAUAACGCAGAGAAAUUUGCGCUAAUACCGAAUGAGCUCUUAGGGGGAAAAAUUUAUCGCCGAAAGAUCGGCCCGCGUUGGAUUAGGUAGUUGGUGUGGUAAAGGCGCACCAAGCCUACGAUCCAUAGCUGGUCUGAGAGGAUGAUCAGCCACACUGGGACCGAGACACGGCCCAGACUCCUACGGGAGGCAGCAGUGGGGAACCUUGCGCAAUGGGCGAAAGCCUGACGCAGCCAUGCCGCGUGAAUGAUGAAGGUCUUAGGAUUGUAAAAUUCUUUUACCAGGGACGAUAAUGACGGUACCUGGAGAAAAAGCCCCGGCUAACUUCGUGCCAGCAGCCGCCGUAAUAC
rnacentral:rRNA from 1 species